UGUAACGGAGGCGUUUAAAGGUUCCCUCAGAAUGGUUGGAAAUCAUUCGCAGAGUGCAAAGGCAUAAGGGAGCUUGACUGCGAGACCUACAAGUCGAGCAGGGACGAAAGUCGGACUUAGUGAUCCGGUGGUACCGAAUGGAAGGGCCAUCGCUCAACGGAUAAAAGCUACCCUGGGGAUAACAGGCUUAUCUCCCCCAAGAGUCCACAUCGACGGGGAGGUUUGGCACCUCGAUGUCGGCUCAUCGCAUCCUGGGGCUGAAGUAGGUCCCAAGGGUUGGGCUGUUCGCCCAUUAAAGCGGUACGCGAGCUGGGUUCAGAACGUCGUGAGACAGUUCGGUCCCUAUCUGUCGCGGGCGUAGGAAAUUUGAGAGGAGCUGUCCUUAGUACGAGAGGACCGGGAUGGACGUACCGCUGGUGUACCAGUUGUCUCGCCAGAGGCACCGCUGGGUAGCUAUGUACGGAGGGGAUAAGCGCUGAAAGCAUCUAAGCGCGAAGCCCCCCU
rnacentral:rRNA from 2 species